GCUGCUGUGGCUCAAUGUAGAGUGUCCUCUCCAUGUGUGGAAUUGAAAUGGUAGAAUGUGAGGAAGGCGUGGGUUCGAAUCCUACCAGCAGCA